rnacentral:rRNA from 1 species
AGAGUUUGAUCCUGGCUCAGAAUGAACGUUGGCGGCGUGGAUUAGGCAUGCAAGUCGUACGGGCCGCAAGGCCAGUGGCGCAAGGGUGAGUAAGGCGACGGUAACCAACCCCAUGAUUGGGUAUAGCCGCGGGAAACCGCGGGUAAUCCCCAGCGACGUCACGCGGAGGCAUCUCCGCGGGACCAAAGCCCCGGCGUCGUGGGACGGGCUGUCGUGGUAUUAGCUGGUUGGCGGGGUAACGGCCCACCAAGGCUCUGAUGCCUACCGGGCGUGCGAGCGUGGCCCGGCACACUGGGACUGAGACACUGCCCAGACUCCUACGGGAGGCUGCAGUCGAGAAUCUUCGGCAAUGGGCGCAAGCCUGACCGAGCGACGCCGCGUGGAGGACGAAGGCCUUCGGGUUGUAAACUCCUGUCGAGGGGGAAGAGUGGGUGUCACAG